rnacentral:tRNA from 1 species
UUUAAGGAGAGAGUUAGCCAUUUUGAUGGCCUAACUCAUGGUCGAAGGAAGCAAGAGCUUCCGGGUUCCAGUUGAUCGCACAAAGUAAAUAUCUAGAACCAAAAGUUCUUUACAGCAUAGCCGACCAAUUUCGGGGUCGUAGCUCAGUUGGUAGAGCAUCUGCUUUGCAAGCAGAGGGUCGCGAGUUCGAAUCUCGCCGGCUCCACCAAAUUGGGUUGGCGAAACCGAUCUUGGUUAAUACUGCCACUUUCUCAGACCUUGGGCUCAUAGCUCAGUUGGUUAGAGCACGCGCUUGAUAAGCGCGGGGUCGAUGGUUCAAGUCCAUCUGGGCCCACCAUUUUAAACCGGCUAGGUUUAAACGGGGGGUGGGUUGGAUGGCGGCAGUCACCGGCUAAUCGCUGCAAUAAAUUUCGUUCUUUGAAAGUUCAGACAAACAGAAAUGUAAUUGUGUAAGAAGGUAAGAUAAACGCCUAGAAUACUAGUGUGUUUG